UACGUAGGUGACCAGCGUUGUCCGGAUUUACUGGGCGGAAAGAGCGCGCAGGCGGUCGUUCAAGUCGAGUGUGAAAGCCCCCGGCUCAACUGGGGAGGGUCACUUGAUACUGAUCGACUCGAAGGCAGGAGAGGGAAGCGGAAUUCCCGGUGUAGUGGUGAAAUGCGUAGAUAUCGGGAGGAACACCAGUGGCGAAGGCGGCUUCCUGGCCUGUUCUUGACGCUGAGGCGCGAAAGCUAGGGGAGCAAACGGG
rnacentral:rRNA from 1 species